UGAGGAAUAUUGCGCAAUGAGCGAAAGCUAGACGCAGCAACGCCGCGUGGACGAUGAAGGCCUUCGGGUCGUAAAGUCCUUUUCAGGGGGACGAGUGAGGACGGUACCCCUGGAAUAAGUCACGGCUAACUACGUGCCAGCAGCCGCGGUAAAACGUAGGUGGCGAGCGUUAUCCGGAUUCACUGGGCGUAAAGCGCCUGCAGGCGGUCUUGUAAGUGGGAUGUGAAAUCUCCCGGCUUAACUGGGAGGGGCCAUUCCAUACUGCGGGACUGGAGGGCAGAAGAGGGGAGUGGAAUUCCCGGUGUAGUGGUGAAAUGCGUAGAUAUCGGGAGGAACACCAGUGGCGAAGGCGACUCCCUGGUCUGCUCCUGACGCUAAGAGGCGAAAGCUAGGGGAGCGAACGGGAUUAGAAACCCCGGUAGUCCUAGCCAUAAACGAUGGAUACUAGGUGUUGGUGGUCCUAACCCCAUCAGUGCCGAAGCUAACGCGUUAAGUAUCCCGCCUGGGGGACUACGGCCGCAAGGUUA
rnacentral:rRNA from 1 species